UACGUAGGGUGCGAGCGUUAAUCGGAAUUACUGGGCGUAAAGUGUGCGCAGGCGGCCGAGCAAGUCGAGUGUGAAAGCCCCGAGCUUAACUUGGGAACUGCGCUCGAAACUACUUGGCUAGAGUCGUGGCAGAGGGAGGUGGAAUUCCACGUGUAGCGGUGAAAUGCGUUGAUAUCUGGAGGAACACCGGGUGGCGAAGGCGGCAUCCGUGGAGCCGGCAUUGACGCUGAGGCGCGAAAGCCAGGGGAGCAAAGCGGG
rnacentral:rRNA from 1 species